rnacentral:piRNA from 1 species
UUGCAGUUAAGUGCUCAGAGGAUGCGCAC